CGCUUCUGUAAUGAAACCAAAUCUCUGGAUUAAACAGACCGCUUUCUACAUGUCACAUGAUUGACACCCGUCACCCAAAUGUUAAAAAUACAUAGGUCAUAGGGCCGGGUCAUGUUAAGUGUCAGGGUCCGAUAUUUACUUUUUGCUAAUGAUACGCCGAUAUUGUCCAAACUCUUCAUUUCAGAUUCCGAUACCAACGAAUGGUUACAUAUGCAGUCGUUUUCCCCCGAAACUGCGAUAAACGUCUCAGUACCUCACAAGCGAUUCCAGCAUUUUUUUGCAAAUCCCAUGGGUUUUAUUAACAGGUUUUUUAUUAUCGCAGAGGAAGGUGAUAACGAUUGUUACAGACUUUACAUAAUUAUGCUAAUAUCGGACCGAUAGCUUCGGUCGGCCGCUAUCAUCGAACAUCCUUAGUUAGGAUUGAUACUGACCCAGCGGUUCAUGCUAGGCGUCUAUUCCAUCUUGCAACCUGAUUGGUUCAACUGAAAUUUUUUCUUUAAUGACUUCCCAAUCAUUUUGAGCGACAGUCAUGAUGCAUCGUAAAAAUGGGUAUUUCUCUCUCACCCCUAAAGAUUGGGCCGGCGUUUGUGGUCGGUUAGAUUGGUUCUCUGAGCUCCUCUGACUUUUCUCUCCUUAUCAGUGCCUUGUUUUUCGUCAUUUCUCUUUUUUCCCUCCUCGUCUUCCCUCUCCUUCUCUCUGUCCUCUCUCUCCCUGCUCUCUGUCCUCUCUCUCCCUGCUCUCUGUCCUCUCUCUCCCAGCUCUCUGUCCUCUCUCUCCCUGCUCUCUGUUCUCCCUCACCCGAGCUCUCAUAGUCACUUGUUACCUUUUAUGUUUCUCCAUCUUUACCUUCCUCACACCACCUGUUAUAUUCUCGAAUCCUUCAAUUUCACACCUCCUGGACACACACACACACACUCACACACACACCUCCAGACAUUGGCACACAUUAAAGUGGUUCGUUCCCUUCUAGUAAAGGAAAAAAAGUAGAGAGAAACCAGGUUAAAAAAGAGAUGAGAGGAAUUAAUGAUGG